CGUGGGGUGGCCUAGUGGAAAGAGCACUGGACCUGGGAGUCAGAAGACUUGGGUUCUAAUCCUGCCUCCACCA
rnacentral:tRNA from 1 species